GACGAACGCUGGCGGCGUGCCUAAUACAUGCAAGUAGGACGCAGUUGCGAACGGGUGAGUAACGCGUAGGUAACUGCCUAUUAGAGGGGGAUAACUAUUGGAAACGAUAGCUAAUACCGCAUACUAGUAGAUGGACCUGCGUUGUAUUAGCUAGUAGGUAGGGUAAUGGCCUACCUAGGCGACGAUACAUAGCCGACCUGAGAGGGUGAUGUGCCAAACUGGGGAUGAGACAAGGGCCAGACUCCUUCGGGGGGCAGCAGUUGGGAAUCUUCGGGAAUGGGGGGAACCCUGACCGAGCAACGCCGCGUGAGGGAAGAAGGUUUUCGGAUCGUAAAGCUCUGUUGUUAAGGAAGCGGUACUUAACCAGAAAGGGACGGCUAACUACGUGCCAGCAGCCGCGGUAAUAC
rnacentral:rRNA from 1 species